CGUAAAUCAUUCAAAAAUGGCCGCCGCAGACGAGGAAGACAAGAAAACAAAGUAAAUGCCUUUUUACGGCAAAAGUUGGAUUUUUUUGGCGUGUUCAAUUCUCCGAAGUUCUGUUCCCGCUACACACGUUGAACCAUGGUUUGUACGCAGUAAAAGGUGUCUUUACCUUAACUGAUGCAGUAUGGGGCACCUCAAUGUUCACUACCUGAGGUGUAAAUAUCUGAUGUGGUUGAGCAGGAAUGCUCCAUGGUGGUGGCGCAGGGCCAUUCUGAGGACCAUCGAUCAUCUGACCUACAUUCAUAAACAAACUGUUACCUACAGAUACUUCGAUAAGUGGUUUUAGCAUGGUUUCUGUUGCCAUACAUGUAUAUUGGAACGCUUGGCUCUUCUAGCUUUGUAAAUGAAACAAACUUGUGAAAUGUCAAAGUCAAGAAAGUAGUAACAAGCAUUAGAGAAAACAGCAUCAUGAGCCUUGGGCUUCCAUUUGCAUUUUCAAAAGCCCAGCUAAAUAAUUAUGGACUCCCAAAGAUUGACACUUUUAUCUAUUAGUUUAUUUCAUUUUUUAUUCAACUCACCUCGGUAAGGUUCAUGCUUCCAAGCUGUGGAUCUUGAUUCACAAAAACUAUUCAAGUGAUACUGGAAAUUAAAAACAGAUAAUCAAUGAUAUCAAUCAUAAGAUGAGUUGCAAUUUCUGUGGUACCAGGUCUUCAUCCUACUGUGUCACUACAAUUAGCUGGAGUUGUUCCCUGACAGUAUCAAGGUUACAUCUUAAACCAUGUU